GGCGACUUUGUUCUUUGAGCUCUUUCCGAUGGGUAUGUCGCCUUGAAGCUCUGGAAAAAAGAAAACCAUGACGUUUAAAAUUUAACGAGUGAAAUAGAAGGUGCCUAGGUCGGACGAUAAUUAUUAUCAAAUUUACAUAAGCCGCGCGAAUAAAACAUAGCAGCUUUAAAUCCGACAAGACCCGUAACAUUAAUUCUAUGGAUAAUAUUGUUAUAGCAACGACGUUUCCGAUUUUCAAGUACCCAGUUAUAUGGUUUCUGCGAUGGUGAUUAAACGGCAGAGAUUUCAAUCGCUGUUCGGGAAACUACUGCUCAACGAUGGUCGACGGUGCAGUUAUUAUUUACACUCGACCCUCGUAUAAUAUUCAGCAAGUAUUGUGAUGAUAAUAAUAAUAAUCAUAUGGAAGGGAAAUUUAUCUAACAAGUUGCAGUGGAAAAAGCGUUCAACGGACAGAAAAAAACGAAAAUAUAAUGAUGAUUUUGCUGUGAUGAACUUCAAAAAAUAAAACAAAACGAUAUUUUAAAAUUUUAUUCAAAAUUCUACACAAAGAUUUCCCUGCUUUAAGAGACUUUAUAAUGAAAAUGGCUACUGUAUUUGACUCGACGUAUAUAUGCGAACAGAUAUUUUCAAGAAUGAAACAAACAAAAUCGGUUCAUGGAUCGCGACUUACGGAUGAACACCUUCAUUCAAUUUUGAGGAUUGGAACCACUAAAUUUCAACCAGAUUUUUCAUUAUUAGUAAAAGAAGU